rnacentral:rRNA from 1 species
GAAUUUUGGACAAUGGGCGAAAGCCUGAUCCAGCAAUGCCGCGUGCAGGAUGAAGGCCUUCGGGUUGUAAAGCACUUUUGGCAGGGAAGAAAAGGCUCUGGCUAAUACCUGGAGCUGCUGACGGUACCUGCAGAAUAAGCACCGGCUAACUACGUGCCAGCAGCCGCGGUAAUACGUAGGGUGCAAGCGUUAAUCGGAAUUACUGGGCGUAAAGCGUGCGCAGGCGGUUUGGCAAGAAGGAUGUGAAAUCCCAGGGCUUAACCUUGGAACUGCAUUCUUAACUGCCAGGCUAGAGUAUGUCAGAGGGGGGUAGAAUUCCACGUGUAGCAGUGAAAUGCGUAGAGAUGUGGAGGAAUACCGAUGGCGAAGGCAGCCCCCUGGGAUAAUACUGACGCUCAUGCACGAAAGCGUGGGGAGCAAGCA